UUGGACUCAGACACUUGUGUGUUGUCCCAAAGAAAACUGGGAGGGCUCCAAUCGCUGGAAUCUUAACAAGGCAUGACUUCAUGCAUGAACAUAUAUCGAACCUCUACCCGCAUUUCGUCCCCCACAAGUAGCCAGAGAAGUUUGCUCAUUCCACAUGCAAACACGCAGCCUAUUGUGUAUUACUAUUCCUUAUUGUUUUGGUUUCCAGAAUUACUCUUCUUGUAAUUCUUUUGGUCUUGAUGUUUGUAUAACUACGAAUACUCCGAAUUUUUCAAUAUCAAGCUUGUAAUCUUGCUCAGUUC